AGUGGAGUCCAGGAGAGAGCAUGCCGCCCCUCAGCUAAACCAGAUGUGAGUUGAACUAAUUAGAUGUCUCUACCAGUGUUACACCACUAGUUCUCAGUAGUAAUAACACUCCAUUUCAUGUCUCUCAGUAGAUGAAGCCAGCUGCAACCCGUAGAGUGGAGUUGUGGAGAGAGCCCCUCGCCCCUCAGCUAAACCAGAGUAAAUGAAGCCAGCACCAACCUGUGGAGUGGAGUCCAGGAGAGAGCAUGCCGCCCCUCAGCUAAACCAGAUCAGAUAAAGCCAACUGGAACCAUAUUUUUACAUAUUUUAUAUUAAAUAUAUUGAAUAAAACUACAUAUGAUAAAGAAAGUGUUAUCUUAUCUUUUUUAUAUGCUAAACUUGAUUAAAUUGGUGAUUACAUGUUGAAGCUGUAGAAGA